rnacentral:rRNA from 1 species
GACGUAGGGUGCAAGCGUUGUCCGGAAUUAUUGGGCGUAAAGAGCUCGUAGGCGGUUCGUCGUCGUCGGCUGUGAAAUCCCGAAGGCUCCGAACCUCGGGUCUGCAGUCGAUACGGGCGGACUGGAGUUCGGCAGGGGAGACUGGAAUUCCUGGUGUAGCGGUGAAAUGCGCAGAUAUCAGGAGGAACACCGGUGGCGAAGGCGGGUCUCUGGGCAUGACCUGACGCUGAGGAGCGAAAAGUGUGGGGAGGCGAACAGG